rnacentral:rRNA from 1 species
UACCAGCACCCCCGAGUGGUCGGGACGAUUAUUGGGCCUAAAGCAUCCGUAGCCGGUCCUGCAAGUCUUCCGUUAAAUCCAGCUGCUCAACAGAUGGGCUGCGGGGGAUACUACAGGGCUAGGAGGCGGGAGAGGCAAGCGGUACUUUAUGGGUAGGGGUAAAAUCCGUUGAUCCAUAGAAGACCACCAGUGGCGAAGGCGGCUUGCCAGAACGCGCUCGACGGUGAGGGAUGAAAGCUGGGGGGAGCAAACCGG